GCCGUCUCAGUGUCGCACCUGGAGAGUUUCCAGUGCUCUGCCAGUCUCGGCUAAGGGAGGGAGAGUCAGGCAGAGGUCUGUCCGUUCCACUCCUAGCUAGGCCAGUGGCUAGCGAGUGGAAGCCAAUCUGCUACGAGU